rnacentral:rRNA from 1 species
AUUGAACGCUGGCGGCAGGCUUUACACAUGCAAGUCGAACGAGUGGCGGACGGGUGAGUAAUGCAUGGGAAUCUAGCUUGUGGAGGGGGAUAACUACGGGAAAGUGUGGCUCAUACCGCCUACCAUAGGAGCAGCCGCAGUGGGCUUCGGGAGGUGGUGGGGUAAAGGCUCACCAAGCCGACGAUCCCUAGCUGGUUGGAGAGGAUGACCAGCCACACUGGGACUGAGACAUGGCCCAGACUCCUACGGGAGGCAGCAGUGGGGAAUUUUGCGCAAUGGGGGAAACCUGAUGCAGCCAUGCCGCGGGAAUGAAGAAGGCCUUCGGGUUGUAAAGUACUUUCGGUAGCGAAGCGUUAUCUGCAGAAGAAGCACCGGCUAACUCCGUGCCAGCAGCCGCGGUAAUUC